rnacentral:rRNA from 1 species
UACGUAGGGGGCAAGCGUUGUCCGGAUUUAUUGGGCGUAAAGAGCGUGUAGGCGGCUUUGCAAGUCCGUUGUGAAAACUCGAGCUCAACCUCGAGACGCCGGUGGAAACUGCAAAGCUAGAGUCCGGAAGAGGAGAGUGGAAUUCCUGGUGUAGCGGUGAAAUGCGCAGAUAUCAGGAAGAACACCCGUGGCGAAGGCGGCUCUCUGGGACGGUACUGACGCUGAGACGCGAAAGCGUGGGGAGCGAAACAGGAUUAGAACCGUACCGUA